CCAAUAGCGUAUAUUAAAGUUGCUGCGGUUAAAAAGCUCGUAGUUGAAUUUCGGAAUUGAUGCAUCGGUCGUGCCUUAAGGGGCAUGAACUGGUGUAGCCAAUUUCUCACCUUCUGGUGAAUUGUUGAUGUUCUUAAUGGGUGUCUCAAUGAACUAGAAUUUUUACUUUGAAAAAAUUAGAGUGUUUAAAGCAGGCAUUAAUUUGCUUGAAUACAUUAGCAUGGAAUAAUGAAAUAGGACAGUGGUUCCGUUUUGUUGGUUUCUAGGAUCACGUAAUGAUUAAUAGGGACAGUUGGGGGCAUUAGUAUUCAAUUGUCAGAGGUGAAAUUCUUGGAUUUAUUGAAGACUAACUAUUGCGAAAGCAUUUGCCAAGGAUGUUUUCAUUAAUCAAGAACGAAAGUUAGGGGAUCAAAGACGAUUAAGUACGUCGUAGUCCUAACCAUAAACUAUACCGACUAGGAAUCAGACGAUGUUAAUUUUUUAAUGACUCGUUUGGUACCUUACG
rnacentral:rRNA from 1 species